CGCUGUAGCUCAGUGGUAGAGUGUUGCCUAGCAUGUGCCAGGUUCUGGGAUCAAUCCACAGUUGGUGA
rnacentral:tRNA from 1 species